rnacentral:rRNA from 1 species
UACGUAGGGCGCAAGCGUUGUCCGGAAUUAUUGGGCGUAAAGAGCUCGUAGGCGGCUUGUCGCGUCGGAUGUGAAAACUCGGGGCUUAACCCCGGGCCUGCAGUGGGUACGGGCAGACUAGAGUGCGGUAGGGGAGACUGGAAUUCCUGGUGUAGCGGUGAAAUGCGCAGAUAUCAGGAGGAACACCGGUGGCGAAGGCGGGUCUCUGGGCCGUAACUGACGCUGAGGAGCGAAAGCGUGGGGAGCGAACAGG